rnacentral:rRNA from 1 species
AUGGCAGUGGACAAGUGGCGUCCCUAUCUUCAGCACCAACAAUUCCUCAUCCAAACAGAUCAAAAAGCCUUACUACAUCUGACUAAACAAAGGCUGACUACAGGAAUUCAGCACAAGGCCUUCGUUAAAUUAAUGGGACUCACUUAUACCAUUCAGUAUAAGAAGGGCAUUACAAAUGCCGCCGCAGAUGCAUUGUCAUGCCACGACCACCAAGACACUCUCUUGGCAAUUUCAGUUGUUGUUCCCAAGUGGCUUGAGACCUUAGUGGCGGGCUAUAUGGAGGAUGAUCAAUCUAAAGCUCUGCUUCAGGAACUUGCGGCGUCUGGAACUAAUGACAAAGGAUACUCAUUAGAUCAAGGUGUUCUCCGUUACAAGGGCAGGAUUUGGGUAGGACAGAAUAUACUGGCACAACAACAUAUCUUACAAUCACUCCAUGCCAGCGCCAUCGGGGGCCACUCCGGUGCACUAGCCACAUAUCAAUGA